rnacentral:rRNA from 1 species
UACGGGGGGGGGUAAGCGUUGUUCGGAAUUACUGGGCGUAAAGGGCUCGUAGGCGGCCAACUAAGUCAGACGUGAAAAUCCCUCAGCUUAACUGGGGAACUGCGUCUGAUACUGGAUGGCUUGGAUUCGGGAGAGGAAUGCGGAAUUCCAGGUGUAGCGGUGAAAUGCGUAGAUAUCUGGAGGAACACCGGUGGCGAAGGCGGCAUUCUGGACCGAUAUUGACGCUGAGGAGCGAAAGCCAGGGGAGCAAACGGG